ACCAGACAGCUUUCGUGGAGGUCACGGACCAGACAGCUUUCGUGGAGGUCACAGACACAACUAAGCUGAUCCUGAAUCCCGAGGGAGAGCUUCAGGUUCCGCAAUACGAGUAGCUCAUGUCACUUGCCAAUACCAUCACUCAUUUUUCAGAUAUAGUUGGAGAAAUUAGGAGGAACCAAACCAUGUACAACGAAGACACCCAGAGCACUCAACACCGCAAGGAAACCAUAAAGUUUGAUGAUAGGGACAAGCCUGUCUGCCUCAGUGUUGUUGAUGGCCUUUCUGCGGACCUAGACACACAACUACUAAGCUCUGGCUGAAUCCCUAAAGUUACAGCUUUAGAAUAUUUAUUUAAUGACUAUGCUUCACUUUUUUUUAUCAUGUUCGUUUCCAGGUACAGUCUUUGCAGUAUUUGGAAUUCUACAGUUACAUGGUGUUUCUAUCACAGUCCUCUCUAUAAGUGGCUUCAUAGGGACAAAAACAUUUGAAUGGAUCACAUGUCUUAUUAAUAUUUCUAUCUUGAGUGCAGUUCGAGCUUGAAAAUUGUUGUGUCAAAGCAGUAAACCGGAGAAAGAAUAAGAACAUGUACAGAGUUUGGGUUCGUGGGAGGUUCCAAAAGCCAUUUCUAAAAUAAAGAAAGGGAAGUGCUGGUCCAACUCUUUUGCGGCUCUUCUAGCAUGCAGCUUCUUUGCAUAGUGCAUCUUCUCAACUGCUCAUUGAUUCGACCCUCUGUCUCAGUGUGUUUGACGGAUAAGUCAACCACCUUCCCUAAAGUUUGAACGUUUGGGGUUUGGAACCAACAACCCAAAAAAACUUUUUUGUUAAUAAUAUUUUGAGAUUGUUUGUUGUAAUG